UACAGAGGGUGCAAGCGUUUAAUCGGAAUUACUGGGCGUAAAGCGUGCGCAGACGGUUGCGUAAGUCAGAUGUGAAAGCCCCGGGCUCAACCUGGGAAUUGCAUUUGAGACUGCAUAGCUAGGGUGCGGAAGAGGGAAGCGGAAUUUCCGGUGUAGCGGUGAAAUGCGUAGAUAUCGGAAGGAACACCAGUGGCGAAGGCGAUCACCUGGGGUUGUUCUGACGCUGAGGAGCGAAAGCUAGGGGAGCAAACGGG
rnacentral:rRNA from 1 species